rnacentral:rRNA from 1 species
GACAGAGGUGCCGAGCGUUAGGCGGAAUCACUGGGCUUAAAGCGUGUGUAGGCGGGCGAUCAAGUACCUUGUGAAAUCCCACGGCUCAACCGUGGAACCGCUGGGUAUACUGGUUGUCUUGAGCCGGCUAGGGGCGAGCGGAACAGACGGUGGAGCGGUGAAAUGCGUAGAUAUCGUCUGGAACGCCGAAGGUGAAAACAGCUCGCUGGGGAGGAGCUGACGCUGAGACACGAAAGCGAGGGGAGCGAACGGG